ACCACUUCGGUGGGGAUUAGUGGCGAACGGGUGAGUAACACGUGGGCAAUCUGCCCUGCACUCUGGGACAAGCCCUGGAAACGGGGUCUAAUACCGGAUACUGACCUUCGCAGGCAUCUGUGAUGGUCGAAAGCUCCGGCGGUGCAGGAUGAGCCCGCGGCCUAUCAGCUUGUUGGUGAGGUAGUGGCUCACCAAGGCGACGACGGGUAGCCGGCCUGAGAGGGCGACCGGCCACACUGGGACUGAGACACGGCCCAGACUCCUACGGGAGGCAGCAGUGGGGAAUAUUGCACAAUGGGCGAAAGCCUGAUGCAGCGACGCCGCGUGAGGGAUGACGGCCUUCGGGUUGUAAACCUCUUUCAGCAGGGAAGAAGCGAAAGUGACGGUACCUGCAGAAGAAGCGCCGGCUAACUACGUGCCAGCAGCCGCGGUAAUACGUAGGGCGCGAGCGUUGUCCGGAAUUAUUGGGCGUAAAGAGCUCGUAGGCGGCUUGUCACGUCGGUUGUGAAAGCCCGGGGCUUAACCCCGGGUCUGCAGUCGAUACGGGCAGGCUAGAGUUCGGUAGGGGAGAUCGGAAUUCCUGGUGUAGCGGUGAAAUGCGCAGAUAUCAGGAGGAACACCGGUGGCGAAGGCGGAUCUCUGGGCCGAUACUGACGCUGAGGAGCGAAAGCGUGGGGAGCGAACAGGAUUAGAUACCCUGGUAGUCCACGCCGUAAACGGUGGGCACUAGGUGUGGGCAACAUUCCACGUUGUCCGUGCCGCAGCUAACGCA
rnacentral:rRNA from 1 species